rnacentral:rRNA from 1 species
GUGGGGAAUCUUGCGCAAUGGGCGAAAGCCUGACGCAGCCAUGCCGCGGGAAUGAUGAAGGUCUUAGGAUUGUAAAAUUCUUUCACCGGGGACGAUAAUGACGGUACCCGGAGAAGAAGCUCCGGCUAACUUCGUGCCAGCAGCCGCGGUAAUACGAAGGGGGCUAGCGUUGCGCGGAAUUACUGGGCGUAAAGGGCGCGUAGGCGGACAGCUUAGUCAGAGGUGAAAGCCCCGGGCUCAACCUUGGAAUUGCCUUUGAUACUGGCUGUCUUGAGUUUGGGAGAGGUGAGUGGAACUCCGCGUGUAGAGGUGAAAUUCGUAGAUAUUCGGAAGAACACCAGUGGCGAAGGCGACUCACUGGCCCAAUACUGACGCUGAGGCGCGAAAGCGUGGGGAGCAAAAAGGAUUAGAAACCCGAGUAGUCC